rnacentral:rRNA from 1 species
GCUUGUCUCAAAGAUUAAGCCAUGCAUGUCUAAGUAUAAGCAACCUUAUACAGCGAAACUGCGUACAGCUCAUUAUAUCAGCAAUUAUUUAUUUGAAGAUCACCUAUUACAUGGAUAACCGUGGUAAUUCUAGAGCUAAUACAUGCGAAAAGACGGGCCGCAAGGCUUGUUGUAUUUAUUAGAUGGAAACCAAUGCGGGGCAACCCGGAUACUGGUGAUUCAUAAUAAUUUUCGGAUCGAUCGUAGGAUCGAUGCAUCAUUCAAGUUUCUGCCCUAUCAGCUUUGGAUGGUAGGGUAUUGGCCUACCAUGGCAUUAACGGGUAACGGAGAAUUAGGGUUCGAUUCCGGAGAGGGAGCCUGAGAAAUGGCUACCACAUCCAAGGAAGGCAGCAGG